CCCAGGCCAGGAAGCUCACAGAGAACACAGAGGACCAUGUAGACUGGCUAAGAUAAGUUGAAUCACACUGAUGGCCAGACUAGUUCUCCAUUAACACAGUGUGUUAGUGGAGAGUGUUUCAAGAGGAGGAACUCGGACUGAGGGCUCUACAUCUCCUUAGGGAGAUGUUCCAUCCUUUGGAUCAUUUUUGUGGCCCUCCUCUGGACAUUCUCC
rnacentral:lncRNA from 1 species